AUGGCCCUACUGGUCCAACAAUGGCUGUCUCCUCAUGGGAAGUCCAAGGAUCCAGAAGUUGUUCAGUCUACAAGACUGACUUUCAGUGUAUCUGGAUUUUCAGUGUACGCCAGAAUUCCAGAGAGGUGGGCUCUAAUGUCAGUGAAGGAAUGAACUUGCUAACAAGACCAAGCAGGCAAAGAGCAAAAUAUUCCUUCCUCCUCGUGCUUUAGAUAGGCUGCCAAGAAAAUAUGUGACCCAAAUCAAAGGAGGGUCUUCUGACCUCAAGUGAAAUGGAUUUAAGAGAUCCAUGCUUUGAUUUCUCUGCAACCUUUCCUAAAAGCUCAAGAAGCUAUGAGGGAAAACGUUGAGAAGAUUAGACUGACUCCAUGACAGGCUUCAAAUCGGCAGUUCAGGAGACCAGAUCUAAAUCUCUAUUUCCAAGAACUGGGCAAGUCCAGGCAAGUCUAGGCUUCAGAAGCUGCCCCAACAUCUGGCCCGAGGAAAGGACAAUGGGUCAGCCACAGUUUCCAGACCUCCUCAGCAACAGUUUUCCGUCCUCAUGCCCCAGUAAUGGAAUGUCUGUAGAGAUGGACCCAACAGAUUAAGAGAGAGGUCACCUGCCCUGGAAUUCCCUAAAGUGCUUGACAUCAGGCCCCUGAGCUCACUUGGUUGUCUCUCUAUCUUGGUGAUGGGAGACUCCAGCAUGCUGGACUUCUGCAGAAUAAAGCACUGUGUUUACAUUC